rnacentral:rRNA from 1 species
AUGAACAAACCAAUAACACCCAUCCAAAAUCCACAAAACUGUCCAAAGCCCUAUAACUAUGAUGAUCGAACGAAGUGGGGACACAGCUACUAUACCGUUGAGAUGAGGUUCCACCGCAAAUGUCAACAUCAAUAUCGUGGAUUGAGGAUCCAGAUCAUCUCUAGGGACUAUGAUGGUUAUAUGCUCAACAAGGAGUUCCCCAUCCCUUUCUUUAUUCAAGAAGGCGCGAUAAAGCUACCAUUCCGAGAAGACUAUGUCAUUAAGCCUCUUAUUGGUGGAGCUAAAACAUUUAUGAAUAUCUUUGAUCAAUUUGCACAUUACCCGGAAGCGAGAAACACGACGGAAAUAACAGCAGCGUUUCUGUCCGCUGUGGUGGUUCUGUCUGAGGCAAGGCGCAUCAUUUGGGUAUUUAGGGAAGUGAAGAAUCGGAUCCGAAGAAAUGAAGCACCAUCAGAUCUUGACUGUAAGGUCCCUGGAAAGGAACUCCCCACUGGAUUGGCAUGGACCUCAAUUGGAGACUGGACCAUGGACAGUAAACAGGUUUUAGGUUCUGCGUUCAAGGGAGAAUAUACGCCACGUACCGGUCAAAAAUUCGCGGAAACUGUGGUACCUGUCAAGACGUUUGGGCAACUUAUCUCACAAGAUGAAGAAUCUGGACACCUAAGCCUACUGAUGCGCGUGGAGAAUAUAGCAGCUCCGGAGGGUGGGUGGGUGCUCACAAGGUUGAAGAUGAAGGUGAAUAAUCCUGGACUUCGAGUCGUUGACCCAGGAUUCCCUGACGAUCCAGAAUUAUCUGAUGAUGAGUGA